AAUCACGAGUUCCCGCCAUUCACGACCCUGGUCGGCGGGACGGCAACCCUCUUCGUCAUAGCGGGGUGCUCCAGGUGAAGAUUCGACGCCGCCCGACCGGGCCGGCGUAAGUAUGGCGC
rfam:Arthrobacter sp. TCD-GKA scaffold_3, whole genome shotgun sequence.